ensembl:lncRNA DISC1FP1 DISC1 fusion partner 1
CCCAGUCAUGCUUCCUGUUUUGCCUGCAGAACUGCAUUUAUGAAGUAGGGACCUGGAAUUGAAGAGACUCCUAAAGGAGAGACAGAAGUUUGAAAGAGCAAGAAGAGUGGAUGUGGAUCCAGACAGAAAAAGAGAACAGCAAAUAUUUGAAAGAGCUUAAGACGUACUCCUCAAGGGGUUUCUCCUUUUGCGUCUUUCUCAUUUCUUUUGCUGCCACCGUGUAAGAAGUGCCUUUUGCCUCCUGCCAUGAUUCUGAGGCCUCCCCAGUCAUGUGGAACUGUACCACAGAUAGAAGCCUUGAGAAGCUUACUUUGGUCAGAAAUUUUGCCUUUGUCUGCAGGCUUCUACCAGUUCGAUUCCAUCUGUGGGUCUUAGGUUUCAGUUACCUGAAGUCAAAUGUGGUCCAAUACACAGACUGGAAUAAGAGACAUUGGAGACUCCAAAAGAAUAUUUUCUGGUAGACUGAUAUAUUUCUCCUAAAAAAUUUGGAAAAAUUUUGUGAUGAAGAAGCUACCUGGGCCUGAAGAUAUCUUUUCUGAAGAUGG